UUUAAAAGUAAAAAAUAGAUCAAGCAAAUCUUAAAAGUAAUGUUUGCUUGUUUCCUUAGAGGCCUCAGCGUGCCAGACUGAACCAGAGGAAGGGGACACAGCUACCAUACAGACAAAGACAGGUCUUGGAUUUGGACCUGGAUUUGGAGUGGGGUUCGUAGUGUGCCUCGUCUUGGUGAUCAUCGGGGGAAUUAUUGCAAAGUUCUUCGUCUUGAAAUUCCGAAAGAAAGACGAAAAGUCACAGGAUGUACCUGUUUGACACCAUUACGCUGUUAGUGUACAUACUAAGCUUGUUAAAAGUUUUAGACAUAGACUGUAUUAAUAGCUUCUGAAAGCAAUAAACAUGAUGUAUUAGUGUUGCAACUCUCAUGCUUUACACAAUAGGAGAGUAUCGUGUCUUGUAGGCAGAUGAGUUAGGAUUGUUUUCUGUGCCAACAAGUCUUGCAAUCAUGUGUAGGAGUAGAUCAGAAAAGUAUUGCAAAUAUUGGAAUUUGACUGUGAAUAAACUUGAAAAAUAC